CUAUACGUUGCUUUGGAUAAAAAGUGUCAGCUAAAUGCCGUAGCUGAGCAACAGAUACAUUGGAUAUAAACUUUGCUGCCUAUUGUCUUGGACUACAGGAUGGUUUUACUGACCAACACUGAACUCCUGACAGGAUGCUAGUUCUUCCCAGUUCAGCGCCUGUAGUUUCCAGCGUACUAGGCCGAAUGGAUAUUUCCUUUGGGCAUUUUCUAAUGUGAAUUUGGAGGGGGGGGGGGGUUUCUAUGACUAGAAAGAAAUUCACUGAAAGUUCCAUUUGUAUAACUAUAAAAAAGUAUCUUAAGUGAUUUAAGAUGAACUUGAGGGUUUUCUUAAGUGUCCACUAAUGUCUUUCAUAUGUCUACAUCAAAAUUCUUUGUCCCUUUCUAAAGAAGUUUGUUCAUUAGUCAUCAAAUUUAAAUGAAAGAUUUCAGGAUGUCUUGAGUAAUUACCUAUGCAUUGCCAAAUGCUGUAAUAGUCUGUUUUGAUGUCUGAAUAAAAUAAUCUUGCAUUUAAUUA